rnacentral:tRNA from 1 species
UUGUUAAGGCUUUUCUUGGUA